rnacentral:tRNA from 1 species
AAAAUCCGUUGGUUUUACAAAAAAACCGUGAGGGUUCGAAUCCCUCUAUCCCCA